GGCUUUGAUGAAGGUGACACACCCGCCUUCUCCAUUUGCUCCUUGAAAAAUCGUAAUUUCCGUGCCAUCUCUCCACAUUUUUUGAUCUGAGCAGCAUAAGUUCUCUGAAAUGGACUCUUCUCUGAAUUGAGAUCUUUGAACUGAAGGAGACCGAGGUCGCCGAGAUAAGAGACGGUGAGAUGGACGGAUUCGAUAGGGAUGAUAAGCUGCACCAGUUGCAUGGCCUCCGACCUGAACAGAUCCAUCGGCGG
rnacentral:misc_RNA from 1 species